rnacentral:rRNA from 1 species
CGGGGAAUUUUCCGCAAUGGGCGAAAGCCUGACGGAGCAAUGCCGCGUGGAGGUGGAAGGCCUACGGGUCGUCAACUUCUUUUCUCGGAGAAGAAACAAUGACGGUAUCUGAGGAAUAAGCAUCGGCUAACUCUGUGCCAG